rnacentral:rRNA from 1 species
AUUGAACGCUGGCGGCAUGCUUUACACAUGCCAGUCGAACGGCAGCGCGGGCUUCGGCCUGGCGGCGAGUGGCGAACGGGUGAGUAAUGCAUCGGAACGUGCCCAGUAGUGGGGGAUAGCCCGGCGAAAGCCGGAUUAAUACCGCAUACGACCUGAGGGUGCAAGCGGGGGACCGAAAGGCCUCGCGCUAUUGGAGCGGCCGAUGUCGGAUUAGCUAGUUGGUGGGGUAAAGGCUUACCAAGGCGACGAUCCGUAGCUGGUCUGAGAGGACGACCAGCCACACUGGGACUGAGACACGGCCCAGACUCCUACGGGAGGCAGCAGUGGGGAAUUUUGGACAAUGGGGGCAACCCUGAUCCAGCCAUGCCGCGUGCGGGAAGAAGGCCUUCGGGUUGUAAACCGCUUUUGUUCGGGAAGAAAUCCUCUGGGCUAAUACCCCGGGGGGAUGACGGUACCGGAAGAAUAAGCACCGGCUAACUACGUG